rnacentral:rRNA from 1 species
UUCUUUAAGGUAAGGAGGUGAUCCAACCGCAGGUUCCCCUACGGUUACCUUGUUACGACUUCACCCCAGUCAUGAAUCACAAAGUGGUAAGCGCCCUCCCGAAGGUUAAGCUACCUACUUCUUUUGCAACCCACUCCCAUGGUGUGACGGGCGGUGUGUACAAGGCCCGGGAACGUAUUCACCGUGGCAUUCUGAUCCACGAUUACUAGCGAUUCCGACUUCAUGGAGUCGAGUUGCAGACUCCAAUCCGGACUACGACGCACUUUAUGAGGUCCGCUUGCUCUCGCGAGGUCGCUUCUCUUUGUAUGCGCCAUUGUAGCACGUGUGUAGCCCUGGUCGUAAGGGCCAUGAUGACUUGACGUCAUCCCCACCUUCCUCCAGUUUAUCACUGGCAGUCUCCUUUGAGUUCCCGGCCGGACCGCUGGCAACAAAGGAUAAGGGUUGCGCUCGUUGCGGGACUUAACCCAACAUUUCACAACACGAGCUGACGACAGCCAUGCAGCACCUGUCUCACGGUUCCCGAAGGCACAUUCUCAUCUCUGAAAACUUCCGUGGAUGUCAAGACCAGGUAAGGUUCUUCGCGUUGCAUCGAAUUAAACCACAUGCUCCACCGCUUGUGCGGGCCCCCGUCAAUUCAUUUGAGUUUUAACCUUGCGGCCGUACUCCCCAGGCGGUCUACUUAACGCGUUAGCUCCGGAAGCCACGCCUCAAGGGCACAACCUCCAAGUAGACAUCGUUUACGGCGUGGACUACCAGGGUAUCUAAUCCUGUUUGCUCCCCACGCUUUCGCACCUGAGCGUCAGUCUUUGUCCAGGGGGCCGCCUUCGCCACCGGUAUUCCUCCAGAUCUCUACGCAUUUCNNNNNNNNNNNNNNNNNNNNCCCCCCUCUACAAGACUCAAGCCUGCCAGUUUCGAAUGCAGUUCCCAGGUUGAGCCCGGGGAUUUCACAUCCGACUUGACAGACCGCCUGCGUGCGCUUUACGCCCAGUAAUUCCGAUUAACGCUUGCACCCUCCGUAUUACCGCGGCUGCUGGCACGGAGUUAGCCGGUGCUUCUUCUGCGGGUAACGUCAAUUGCUGCGGUUAUUAACCACAACACCUUCCUCCCCGCUGAAAGUACUUUACAACCCGAAGGCCUUCUUCAUACACGCGGCAUGGCUGCAUCAGGCUUGCGCCCAUUGUGCAAUAUUCCCCACUGCUGCCUCCCGUAGGAGUCUGGACCGUGUCUCAGUUCCAGUGUGGCUGGUCAUCCUCUCAGACCAGCUAGGGAUCGUCGCCUUGGUGAGCCGUUACCUCACCAACAAGCUAAUCCCAUCUGGGCACAUCUGAUGGCAAGAGGCCCGAAGGUCCCCCUCUUUGGUCUUGCGACGUUAUGCGGUAUUAGCCACCGUUUCCAGUAGUUAUCCCCCUCCAUCAGGCAGUUUCCCAGACAUUACUCNNNNNNNNNNNNNNNNNNNNAAAGCAGCAAGCUGCUUCCUGUUACCGUUCGACUUGCAUGUGUUAGGCCUGCCGCCAGCGUUCAAUCUGAGCCAUGAUCAAACUCUUCAAUUUAAAAGUUUGAUGCUCAAUGAAUUAAACUUCGUAAUGAAUUACGUGUUC